GGKSSKGCRRSYUACCAUGCAGUCGAGCGGGGGAAGGUAGCUUGCUACUGGACCUAGCGGCGGACGGGUGAGUAAUGCUUAGGAAUCUGCCUAUUAGUGGGGGACAACAUCUCGAAAGGGAUGCUAAUACCGCAUACGUCCUACGGGAGAAAGCAGGGGAUCUUCGGACCUUGCGCUAAUAGAUGAGCCUAAGUCGGAUUAGCUAGUUGGUGGGGUAAAGGCCUACCAAGGCGACGAUCUGUAGCGGGUCUGAGAGGAUGAUCCGCCACACUGGGACUGAGACACGGCCCAGACUCCUACGGGAGGCAGCAGUGGGGAAUAUUGGACAAUGGGCGCAAGCCUGAUCCAGCCAUGCCGCGUGUGUGAAGAAGGCCUUAUGGUUGUAAAGCACUUUAAGCGAGGAGGAGGCUACUUUAGAUAAUACCUAGAGAUAGUGGACGUUACUCGCAGAAUAAGCACCGGCUAACUCUGUGCCAGCAGCCGCGGUAAUACAGAGGGUGCAAGCGUUAAUCGGAUUUACUGGGCGUAAAGCGCGCGUAGGCGGCUAAUUAAGUCAAAUGUGAAAUCCCCGAGCUUAACUUGGGAAUUGCAUUCGAUACUGGUUAGCUAGAGUGUGGGAGAGGAUGGUAGAAUUCCAGGUGUAGCGGUGAAAUGCGUAGAGAUCUGGAGGAAUACCGAUGGCGAAGGCAGCCAUCUGGCCUAACACUGACGCUGAGGUGCGAAAGCAUGGGGAGCAAACAGGAUUAGAUACCCUGGUAGUCCAUGCCGUAAACGAUGUCUACUAGCCGUUGGGGCCUUUGAGGCUUUAGUGGCGCAGCUAACGCGAUAAGUAGACCGCCUGGGGAGUACGGUCGCAAGACUAAAACUCAAAUGAAUUGACGGGGGCCCGCACAAGCGGUGGAGCAUGUGGUUUAAUUCGAUGCAACGCGAAGAACCUUACCUGGGCCUUGACAUAGUAAGAACUUUCCAGAGAUGGAUUGGUGCCUUCGGGAACUUACAUACAGGUGCUGCAUGGCUGUCGUCAGCUCGUGUCGUGAGAUGUUGGGUUAAGUCCCGCAACGAGCGCAACCCUUUUCCCUUAUUUGCCAGCGAAGUAAUGUCGGGAAACUUUAAAGGAAUAC
rnacentral:rRNA from 1 species